rnacentral:rRNA from 1 species
AACGAACGCUGGCGGCAUGCCUAACACAUGCAAGUCGAACGAGACCUUCGGGUCUAGUGGCGCACGGGUGCGUAACGCGUGGGAACCUGCCCUUAGGUUCGGAAUAACUCCCCGAAAGGGGUGCUAAUACCGGAUAAUGUCUUCGGACCAAAGAUUUAUCGCCUUUGGAUGGGCCCGCGUUGGAUUAGCUGGUUGGUAGGGUAAAAGCCUACCAAGGCGACGAUCCAUAGCUGGUCUGAGAGGAUGAUCAGCCACACUGGGACUGAGACACGGCCCAGACUCCUACGGGAGGCAGCAGUGGGGAAUAUUGGACAAUGGGCGAAGGCCUGAUCCAGCAAUGCCGCGUGAGUGAUGAAGGCCUUAGGGUUGUAAAGCUCUUUUACCCGGGAUGAUAAUGACAGUACCGGGAGAAUAAGCUCCGGCUAACUCCGUG